rnacentral:rRNA from 1 species
GAUGAACGCUGGCGGCAUGCCUAACACAUGCAAGUCGAUCGGUAAGGCUCUUCGGAGUACACGAGAGGCGGACGGCUGAGUAACGCGUAGGAACACACCCUGCAGUGAGGGAUAAGACACCGAAAGGUGUUCUAAUACCGCAUACGGUCUUCGGAUUAAAGCAUUUAUGCGCUGAAGGAGUGGCCUGCGUCAUAUUAGAUAGUUGGUGAGGUAAUGGCUCACCAAGUCGAUGAUGUGUAGCUGGUCUGAGAGGAUGAUCAGCCAGACUGGAACUGAGACACGGUCCAGACUCCUACGGGAGGCAGCAGUGAGUAAUAUUUCACAAUGAGCGAAAGCUUGAUGGAGCAAUGCCGCGUGCAGGAUGAAGGCCCUCGGGUUGUAAACUGCUUUUAUAAGAGAAGAUUAUGACGGUAACUUAUGAAUAAGGGACGGCUAACUACGUG